rnacentral:rRNA from 1 species
AGCCGCGGUAAUUCCAGCUCCAAUAGCGUAUAUUAAAGUUGUUGCAGUUAAAAAGCUCGUAGUUGAACUUCGGGAUUUACCCAUUGGUCAGGCUUAAUUGUCUGUACUGGUGAGAUAAAUCUCUACCUUCUGAGGAACUUUCAUGCCAUUUAUUUGGUGUGAUUGGAAAUCAGGACUAUUACUUUGAAAAAAUUAGAGUGUUUAAAGCAGGCUAACGUCUGAAUAUAUUAGCAUGGAAUAAUGAAAUAGGACGGCUUGGUUCUAUUUCGUUGGUUUCUAGGAUCACCGUAAUGAUUAAUAGGGAUAGUUGGGGGCAUUAGUAUUCAAUUGUCAGAGGUGAAAUUCUUGGAUUUAUUGAAGACUAACUACUGCGAAAGCAUUUGCCAAGGAUGUUUUCAUUAAUCAAGAACGAAAGUUAGGGGAUCGAAGACGAUCAGAUACCGUCGUAGUCUUAACCAUAAACUAUGCCGACUAGGGAUCGGACGAAGUUAAUUUUAUAAUGACGCGUUCGGCACCUUACG